rnacentral:lncRNA from 1 species
UGGGGCUCCCUGAGAGCCAAACUGUAGUGACUGUUUUUGCUCUUCUGGGUCUGGCCACCCAGUGGAGCUACUUGGCUCCGGGUUGGGGUACUGGGGAGUAUCUGCAAAGAGUCCUGUGAUGUGACCCGCCUUCAGGUCUUGCAUCUAUGGAUACCAACACCUGCUUCAGUGGAGGUGGCAGGGGAGUGAAGUGGACUCUGUGUGGGUCCUUGAUUGUGUUUUUGUUUAGUGCCCUGGUUUUGUGUUGGCCUCCAGCCAGGAGGUGGUGCUUUUUCAAGAGCGUGUCAGCUGCAGUCCUAUAGAGAGGAUGCAAACUUGCCCUAGGGACACCUGGUUAAGUAUUCAGGUUUCCCAGGCAGUGAGCAGGGCCGUAGAGCUCCCAAGAGUUUAUGACCUUUGUCUUUGGCUAUCAGGGUGGGUAGAAAAAGGCCACCAGCUUGGGGCAGGGAUAGGCAUGUCUGAGCUCAGCCUCUCCUUGGGCAGGGCUUGCUGCAGCUGCUGUGGGGGAUGGAGGUGUGCUUCCCAGUCCAAUGGAGUUAUAUUCCCAGGGAAUAUUUGCCUCUGCUGAGUCAUACAAGUUGCCAGGGAAGUAGGGAAAAGAGGGCAGUCACAGGUUUCACCCUGCUCUGAUGCAGCCUGCCAUCCUAAAGGCUGGUCUCACUCCCACCAUGCCCCUACAACAGCACUGACUCUAUUUCCAGGCAUCCGAUGACCAGGGCUGAGAACUUGCUCCAGACCAUGAGUCUCCCCUUUGAGAAAGCAAGUAGACUCACAGUUUUUCAGCAUCUCAGGGAGCCUGCAGUGGUGAUCCAGUUCCUUCAAAGGGUCUGUGGAUUCUCUCGGCUUUCCUGGGUCAAAUCAGAAACCUGAUCGAUGAAUGGCUCUGAGUGACAAUGCUAAAUAUCAGGGGGCCAGGCACGAUGGCUCACACCUGUAAUCCUGGCACUUUGUGAAGCCAAGCUUGGACCUUUUUCCAGGUUGGCACUAGAUAUUCAUCAGACUUGGGAAAACUUAGGAUUUUUUAAAAGAAGGUACACAAAGAGAAAGAAUAAGGCCAUUUCCAGCUUCUGGCAUACAAAAUAGAUUAGAAGGCAACAUAGUAAACAGGGUAGGGUCUAGAGAGAGCAUUUCCCAAGUAACUUGAUCCUCUCUCUUCCAUCUCUCAAGGGCCUAACCUAGAGGAAUCUGCUUAUCACAAGACUUGCCACUUGUAAGCAAAAGGAGGGUAGGAUGUAGGGAAAGUAAGGGAAGACUUCUUUUUUUCCAGCUCUAGAUGAGGGUGAGAAGGGAACUGAGGGAGAGAGAGGGAGUCCAUCCUGGGGUUCCAGGCACAGGCCCUGUGACGGAGGAGGUGUGUUUCAUAAGGGAGGGUAAUGUGGAAGGCAGAGGAGGUGACUCUUAGGACUCUGGGAAGAAGUCCCCUCUCAACACAUCCUAACCCCAGUUUGAACACAGCUGCACCAUCUCGAAGGUGAGCACAGUCAGGCCAAGGGAAGCCUGAGGUUGUUUCUUGAUUUCCUCAAGUUCUAUGUGGGGUGGGUGAUGGAUGGAGGCCCAGAGGGCCUGCUUUGGGAGUUUCUCAAGGUGAAGCCCAAUGACUUGGCUACAAAGCUGGGUGAGCACCUGGGCCUGCAGACUGGAUGGGGAGCUUGAAAGAGAUCUGGGGUCUGAGGCUUGAGAAGCCCAUGCAAACCUGAAUCAAUCAGGAAGGAGUUCCCACUCUGGGCAAGCUGAGAAAGAGACCAAUGGCCACAGAAGUUAGCUGAGGGACAAAGGACACUGCCUCAGGCACCAGAGACUACUCAAAAGACCAUCAAAGACCUGGCUCUUCCCUCCGCCAAACACACAGUUCUCAGCUCACAUGCCUGGCUAACAUCUAGGGAAGAGAAGUGGGUAAAGAGAGUAUAUUAGUAAGGGUUCUCCAGACAAAUAGAACCAGUAAAAGCACUAUAUAAAGAGAGUCAUUAUAAAGAAUUGGCUUACAUGGUUAUGGAGGCUAAGAAGUCUUAAGAUGUGUAGUUGGCAAGCUGGAGACCCAGGAGAGCUGAUAGUUGAGUUUCAGUCUGAAGCUAAAAGCCUGAGAAGCUGAUGGUGGAAAUUCGAGGCCAAGUGUGACUCUGAAGGCAUGAGAAGACCAAUGUCCAGCUCCAAGACAGACAGAAAGACAGUGAAUUCUCCCUUACUCAGCCUUUUUGUUCCAUUCAAGCCUUCCACAGAUUGGAUGAAGCUCACCCAAAUUGGGGAGGGCAAUUUGCUUUGCUCAAUCUCCCAAUGUAAAUGCGAAUCUCAUCCAGAAACACCCUCACAGACUCGCCCAUCAUAAUGAUUAAUGAAACAUCUGGGCACCCUGUAGCCCAGUCAAGUUGACACAAAAUUAACCAGCAUAAGAAGCCAUGUAGAAACUGGGAAGUUUUCCUAAAAGAGACAGAGUAUUAGUGAAAGGACCAUUUACAUGCUCAGAUUGGGUUGAGCUUAAUCAAAAUUAGAAAUUUCGUUUUCUGUGUGUUUGCUUUUUGCUUUCUACUAACUGCUGAAUGGGAGAUUAUGAGAGGGAAUGGAGAGACAUCAAGAAAAAAACCUUACAUUUUCUCUGCUUAUUCAGCCAUGGAUAAAUAUAUGGAAACACAUUAUAUCUGUUCUGUAAUCUGCUUUUUUGACCAUGCAAAUAUACAUCAUAGACAGCUUUCUGGAUUAAUAAAUAUCGAUCUCCAUGAAAAUUAUCUUAAAUAUGUCCUUGGUAUUCCAUUGUCUAUAAAUGUCAAAAUGUAGACACUCAGACCCCUAUUGAUAGACAUUUGUUAUUUUUAAUUAAAUAGACACAAUUCACUCCAGAAAGCUUUCAGAGACUUUCAGUUAUAACUACAGCUUGGUUUUCUUUGUUUCAUAUAUGGAGAAAAAUAAAUUGUAUUUAUUCUUUGAAUAUGGGAGUGUGGGGGAAUAAAAAGAACAGAGAAUACGAAUUUGACAGGGAGCUUGUAAAUGGCUGUGGGAUGUUCAGAGAUGCGGUCCAUGCACGCCCUGUACAUGCCUGGCUACUUGUCCUUGCCCAACCAUGACCACACCGGCAAGAUAACGGAGCAGGGUGGUGAUUAUUCAUGCCUCUCAGAAAACUGUAUUCACCUGCUCUGCACAGGGUCUCCACUGGGUGCUUGCCAUUGCAGACUUCCAUAUGCUCUCCAGGGGCCAACAGACAGGAAGAGGAUAAAGCUGGGCGGAUGGCAUGCUUCCGCCUUCCUGCCGAGAUAAUGAACUGAGGGAGGCAGAGAAACUGGGGCCACCUGAAGUACGACCAGCAGCCCUAUCUAAACCGUCCAGAGCGCAGGCUGCCAUGGGCGAGCUGUUUAUCGAGAGCCACAUGUUCCCGAUUGCAGGCUACUGCAUGGCUACAAUUAGACUUUUUGACUGAUGGCCAGUUUAAUGAGCCUAUUUACAGAGGGUCAUUCAACAUAGCAAUUACACCUAUAAAUCUAUUUGCAGUAGGACUCGAAUAACCUUCUGCACACAGCCUUGUAUAAAACUGCUGUCUGAUUAAUUAACAUUAAUUUCCCCGCCGUAUGGAACCAGCUGCAGUUGGUGUAAAUGCUUCCAGCUCCUCUCG